AAUAAUAUAAUUUAACUUUAAUUAGUAUUAAUAUAUAGGUAACUUAUAAAUUUUUAGGGGAAAUUUAUUAGGUGAAAUUUUAACUUUUUAAAGAAAUUUAUUAUUGCUUAUUAUUUGAGAAAUUUUAAAAUAAACUAGGAUUAGAUACCCUAUUAUUUAAAAUGUAAAUUUAUACUAGAUUAGUAUUAGUUAUGUUCUUAAAAAUUAAAGAUUUUGGCGGUUUUUUAGUCUAUUCAGAGGAACCUGUUCUAUAAUUGAUAAUCCACGAUUAGCUUGUCUUUAUUUUUUAGUUUAUAUAUCAUCGUAGAUUUGAAUAUUUUAAAAGGAAAUUAAUAUUCGGGAAGUAUUUUUUAAUAGAUAUCAGAUCAAGGUAUAGCUUAUAGUAAAGUAGAAAUGGGUUACAUUUAUUUAAAUUUAGGAUUAUUUAUUUAAAAUAGAUAUUAAUGUGGAUUUGAAAGUAAUUUUGUUAAUCUUAAUAAAAUGAUUUUAGCUCUAAAAUAUGCACAUAUCGCCCGUCACUUUCAUUUUAAGGUGAAAUAAGUCGUAACAAAGUAGAUUUACUGGAAAGUGAAUCUAGAAAGAACAAGUUAGAGUUUGUUAAAAAGCGUUUUAUUUACACUAAGAAGUUAAUUGUGAGACUCAGUUUUUCUUGAAAAGGAAAAAUUAUUAUUUAGUUAAAUUUAAUUUUUAUUAAUCAAAAUAGUUUAUUUUUCAGUAUUUGUAAUAGAAAUAAAAAAUUUAAUAAUAGAGAAUUAUUAUUGUGAAAGAAAUUUUUAAAUUAAUAUUAAGAAAAAAUUUUUUUU
rnacentral:rRNA from 1 species